GACGAACGCUGGCGGCGUGCCUAAUACAUGCAAGUCGAACGCAGUGGGGACGGGUGAGUAACACGUGGGUAACCUCCCAUCAGAGGGGAUAACACUUGGAAAAAGGUGCUAAACCGAUACUGAUGGAUGGACCCGCGGUGGAUUAGCUAGUUGGUGAGGUAACGGCUCACCAAGGCCACGAUGCAUAGCCGGCCUGAGAGGGUGAUCAGCCACACUGGGACUGAGACACGGCCCAGACUCCUACGGGAGGCAGCAGUAGGGAAUCUUCGGCAAUGGACGAAAGCCUGACCGAGCCACGCCGCGUGAGUGAAGAAGGUCUUCGGAUCGUAAAGCUCUGUUGUCAGGGAAGCGGUAUCUGACGAGAAAGCCACGGCUAACUCCGUGCCAGCCGCCGCGGUAAUAC
rnacentral:rRNA from 1 species